UACGUAGGGUGCGAGCGUUAAUCGGAAUUACUGGGCGUAAAGCGUGCGUAGGCGGCUAUGUAAGACAGAUGUGAAAUCCCUGGGCUUAACCUAGGAACUGCAUUUGUGACUGCAUUGCUAGAGUGUGGUAGAGGGAGAUGGAAUUCCGCAUGUAGCAGUGAAAUGCGUAGAUAUGCGGAGGAACACCAAUGGCGAAGGCAAUCCCCUGGACCUGUACUGACGCUCAUGCACGAAAGCGUGGGGAGCAAACAGG
rnacentral:rRNA from 1 species